GACGAACGCUGGCGGCGUGCUUAACACAUGCAAGUGGAGCGACGAACCGGGGCUUGCCCCGGGGCAGAGCCGCGAACGGGUGAGUAACACGUGGGUAACCCACCCCGAUGACCGGGACAACCCGAGGAAACUCGGGCUAAUACCGGAUGUGCUCCUUGAUCUUGAGAUCAAGGCGUAAAGAUAGCUUCGGCCUUCGCAUCGGGACGGGCCCGCGGCCCAUUAGCUUGUUGGUGGGGUAAAGGCUAACCAAGGCUACGAUCUGUAGCGGGUCUGAGAGGAUGAUCCGCCACACUGGAACUGAGACACGGUCCAGACUCCUACGGGAGGCAGCAGUGGGGAAUUUUGGACAAUGGGGGCAACCCUGAUCCAGCCAUGCCGCGUGAGUGAAGAAGGCCUUCGGGUUGUAAAGCUCUUUCGGGUGAGAAGAAAGCGGAUGGGCUAAUACCCUGUUCGGAUGACGGUAUCACCAUAAGAAGCACCGGCUAACUACGUGCCAGCAGCCGCCGUAACAC
rnacentral:rRNA from 1 species